UGGAUCACCUCCUAACAGGGAGACAACAAAAUGUUAAAUAUUAUUAUUUUGUCACCUUAGGUCGAUCGGUAUCUCACUUUCUUAAUUAAUUAAGAUUUUCAUUUCCUAAGUUUUUCUAGGUCACACCCAUUAUUUUUCCUGGGCCAUUAGCUCAGGUGGUUAGAGCGCACCCCUGAUAAGGGUGAGGUCCCUGGUUCAAGUCCAGGAUGGCCCAUAUCUCUAUGUUGGGGGUAUAGCUCAGUUGGUAGAGCGCCUGCUUUGCAAGCAGGAUGUCAGCGGUUCGAGUCCGCUUACCUCCACUGAUUACCACCUCUUACAUAAUCUGUAAAAAGGAAAUGUUUUGAGUUGUGAUCAAAUUCUGAACGAAUCUAGCCUCCUAAUGAAAUCAUUAAGAUGCUGGACUCAUUGAAUUAAUUUCAUUGUUUUCAGAGAACCUUGACAACUGCAUAGAUUAUUUUUAAAGACAAUAAGCAUCUUUAAUGAUGCAGAUUUAUUAUUUGUGCGAAAGCAUUAAUAACAAUUCUAUUAAGCUGAUGCUUCAAUUUUGAAGUUAUUGGUCAAGCUACAAAGGGCUCACGGAGGAUACCUAGGCACACAGAGGCGAUGAAGG
rnacentral:tRNA from 1 species